CAGUUGAAGAGAAACCCAAGGAAUGGAUCGUUGAAGAGAAACUGGAAGAAACAGCCAUUGAGGAGAAACUCGAAGAACCAGCAGUUGAGGAGAAACCUAACAAACCAGCGGUUAAAGAGACACCUGAAGAACCUGCAGUGAAAGAAACACCUGAACAACCAACGGUUGAAGAGAAACCUCAAGAACCAGCAAUUCAAGAGAAACCUCAAGAACCAACAGUUGAAAAGAAACCUGAAGAACCAACAAUUGAUGAAGAACUUGAAGAGCCAACAGUUGCGGAGAAACCUGAAGAACCAGCAGUUAAAGAAAACCAUGUAGAACCAGAAGUUGAUGAAAAACGUGAAGAACCACAAGUUGAAGAAAAACAUGAGGAACCAGCAGUUGAAGAAAAACCUAAAGAACCAAAAGUUGAGGAGAAACCGGAAGAACCAGCGGUUGAGGAGAAACCCGAAGAACCAGCAGUGAAAGAAACACCUGAAGAACCAGCGGUGAAAGAGACACCUGAGGAACUAGCAGUUGAAGAGAAACCUGAAGAACCAGUAGCUGACAAAAAACUUGAGGAACCAAC
rnacentral:lncRNA from 1 species